CACUCAGCGUACAAUAAUCCCGCUCAUGUGGAACCGAGGCUUUUCCAGUGAGGACUCAUUUGAGGGAAGAGGGAUUGUAUUGCUCUCCGUCUGAGAGAAAAACAGACCCGAACGCGAGCGCGGCUGACCCACAUCAUUACCCUGAACAUGAACAAAUGUUUACAGUGUCUGCUGUUGAUGGAUGGUGUGCUGCUCUGGCUGUAGCUGCAGUGUACGGCGCUGGCUUCUGAAGCUGACAUCAUCAAGGCCGCAUACAUUUCAACCAAUAGGUGCCCUCGAUGUUUCAGUAGGGGGUUGGUUCUUCACAAUUAAUGGUAUAUCUCAGAUCUCUGGAUAUUUGGCAGUUCACCUUGGAUGACCACCCUUCAUUUGAAGCUGAAAACCGAGCUGUUCUAAAAAAAAACAAAAGCAAUCCUCGCCAAGAUCUCGCCAUCUCUACAGACAGCUCAAUCAUCUCUCCCUCACUGAAAGCCAAGAACCUUGGCAUUACACGGGAUGAGGAUCUGGCACAUGUACCGUGUUCUAGUCCUGGUAUACAAGACAAAUUUUCAGCACUCGUCAUCUACCACAGCCUCACUGCAGUCUCAGCACAUUUGUCUUCAGCACUCCCCUAAAG